GCCAAAGAUACGUGCGUGCACUGAGUGGAGUGCUGAAGUGUUGUGAGCCAUUGUUUUGCACAAAGGAAAAUCCAAGUGCUGUGCUGUACUUUCAGAUAUAGCCCAAGCAAUGCAAACUUAUGUGAAAAUGGAAGUCUUUGACAUUGUGGCAUGGGUGUGCCCAAACGGACUUCAGCGUACCUGCAAUUUCACUUCUUCCUGCAAAUGGAUUUGGAGCCCCAUUUUCACCUGUGCCAGCACAGCUGUGCUUCCAGUCAUGUGACAUAUCCUCAUCACAUGGACAAUAGAUGAAAGACUCGCACGGAGAACGCUGUGCAUUAGGAUUGGCAGAUAUCCUCUGGGAUCUGAGCAAAGAAGGACUGUUUGAGAUGUGCACUCUGUGCUUGUCAAAGAGAAAAAGGUUUGCAGGAGCCAGAGCCCAGCUGAAACCUGGAUGGAGCUCUGGGGAUCAGCUUCAGAGCGUGGUGUGGGCAGCCCUGCCUCUGCACCGAGCUCUGCCACCACACCCUGGUUCCUCUGCCGUCCUGUCUUUACCUCAGGAGCCCGAAAGUCCCGCCUCACCCUGCCUGUGCCCCAGGGACACCCAGGACCCCGGUGUGUGCCACCCCAGCUCUGCAGGGCCCAGGCUCCAGAGCUGCUGGAGGCAAGCAGGGAUUCCCCCCUCCGGUAACCCCACAGCACAUCUGCGCUAAGAACGAAAUCACACACUCAGUACGUGGGAAUAUUUUAUUUUGACUUUACAUGCGGUGUUAAAAACCCAAAGAACGUAUUAUUUACACAUCCACAAUACAAGUUUACAAGAUAUCUAUACAUGUUAAAGUACUCUAUAGUAAUAGAGCAGCUUCAUUUAAGGGUUACUUUUUUAUGCCGUACCAUUAAAAAAGAUACAAUCUGCGUUUACCUUUGCACAAAUGGAUAAAGCAUCUUUUAUUAUUAAAUUAACAGAAUAAGGACUAGGUUGAAUGUUAGAAAUUUCAACAUAAAUACUGAGAGAACUCACAUUACCAUCUACAAGGCAGCACAAUGUUACAGGAGGUUAUCAGGGUUCACAUACAUUUAUCUUCCGGGUCACACAAGUCUGUAUUAAUAUUUGUAAAGUGAAUUCGGAUCAGCUUGUGUCUUCUGACAACUGAGUACGUUUUAAUAGUUAUUAAUCUGUAGCGUUUUAGUUGCAAGACAGAAGUGUUUAGGAAGAAAGAUCAUUGAUUUUUGGAUCCAGAGGUCUCAGGAAAUAAAUGUCCCUUACAGCCUUACAAGAAAAAAAUGACUACUUCUAUCCUUUAUUCUUUGUUCUGUAACAGAGAUCCAGUUUUUAGUGACUAACCUUUUCUCCCUUUUAAACACAUAACAUAAAUCUCCACCGUCUCUGAAACCCAUUGCAGUUAUUUGUCCCACUAAUUCAUGAAUAUUCCUCUGCCAUGGUUAUUUCUAUAGUUAUGUUCAAUAAACAAUGUGGUAGUGUGUAGUUUGCAAGCUAAAAUAGCCAUCUGUGUUGAACAUCAGCUGCAAGUGGAUACUGUAAACCCUACUAAAUAGCUUACACAACUUUAGCAGGUGUUCCAUUACCCUAGAAACCUCAUUUGAUUUCACAUUAUAACUGUUUGAUCCUUCAGAGAGCUGGAGUGGAAUGUUUAUCAUGGUAAGGUGAUUUAAUGCUGCUGUCUUCUUGGAUUGUAGGCUGCCUUUAGUUACCAUUAAUUAUUCUUGCGUUUUAUCUUUUAUUUUUUUGGGUGCUGUUGAGAGGUUUUACAACUGGCACUCGGGAGAUAUGUGCUAUAGUGAGAACACUUGACAGAUUUAAUUUUUUUUUAGUACUUUUAUCAUUUGCAUGAAUAAGGCACAAAAUGCACAGAUUCAGGUAAACUCACACAUAAUAUUUACAGAAUAUUGUCAUUACCUGCAUGACUUUGGAAAAAAAAACAAACCUUACUUUACACAACAAAAACAAAUUGAUUGCACUACUGUUGAGUUUUCACAGAUUGCUUCUGCCAGGCCAAUUAAUGUUUCUCCUUUUUUAUUGACAAGAGUCUAUCAGUGUGUAGGGCGUUAUUAAAUGCAACAAAAACGUGACCUUCUCCAGUUACACAGGCAUUUGCCAGUGAACUGACCAUUAGCUGCCCUCAGCGAGUACAGGGGCUCAGGUUCACAGUGGCCAGGCAUUGGAUGGAGGCACUGUGGAAACACAGCAAAACUCCCCCGUUCCAGCCCAAAACACUAGAUUUGAAAUGCACAGCUCUGAAUAAUAGCAGCAUAACAGAGCGCUGGAGAGUUAGCCAGGUCUGCGCUCUGUGACUGGGUGACUCUGAUCCAGGCGUUCCCCUCAGAGGCUGUCAGAGAUGCGCAGUUCAUCCGGAGCUGGCUCCCAGCUGAACCCGGCGGGCUGCGGAAGGCAGAGUCAUCUGUUUGUUCAGUCAUGCUCAAUGUAAACAAUUCCAUAGCAUAAAAGAUGCAAUGGGAAUCUAAGUACAUCCUAGUGUGUACAGUACACACACACAUCCACGCACACGCACAGCUUUAUCUGUGGCAAAAACAAAAUGCCACACACAUGGAGAGAAAAAAAUAAUGCUACAGUUGGGCCAGAGACUUAAUUCCAGCAAAUUGAUUAACCCAGCUAUUCAUUGAGACAUUACCAUUUUCUGACAUUUGUGCAAGAGGCAAGGUGAAUGCAUACAUAGUAAAAUGUUCACAUUUAAUGGGAAUGACCACACUUAAUGGCAGUCUAAAAUGGAACCCAUUUUUCAAGUAUUUGCUUACUGGUUUUUUCCCAACAACUGUUGUUUAGCUAUUCAGAACAGUAACGUAGCCCCCACCCCCUUGUGCUACAUGUCUCCUUAGCUCCAAACAAAAGAAAUGUAAUGACCAGCACUUUCCUUUGUUUUGUUUUUUUUUUUUGUGUUUGCUUGUAGCAAGUACACGAAGCCUUGCUACAGCUACAUGUGGCAAGACACAGAUGUUGCUCAAGUAAAGACAGUUUCUUUGGCCACUUUGUUCUCCUUAAUAACAAGCAAGUCUCUGCCUUAUGUGUCUA
ensembl:lncRNA